UACGUAGGCAGCAAGCGUUGUUCGGAAUUACUGGGCGUAAAGAGUGUGUAGGCGGUGCUCCAAGUCUGGUGUGAAAGCUCCCGGCUCAACUGGGAGGGUGCAUUAGAAACUGGAAUGCUAGAGGAUGGGAGAGGUAAGCGGAAUUCCUGGUGUAGCGGUGAAAUGCGUAGAUAUCAGGAGGAACACCUGUGGUGUAGACAGCUUACUGGACCAUUUCUGACGCUGAGACACGAAAGCGUGGGUAGCAAACAGG
rnacentral:rRNA from 1 species